rnacentral:rRNA from 1 species
GACGAACGCUGGCGGCGUGCUUAACACAUGCAAGUGGAGCGACGAACCGGGGGCUUGCCCCGGGGCAGAGCCGCGAACGGGUGAGUAACACGUGGGUAACCCACCCCGAUGACCGGGACAACCCGAGGAAACUCGGGCUAAUACCGGAUGUGCUCCUUGACCUCGAGGUCAAGGCGUAAAGNUAGCUUCGGCCUUGCAUCGGGACGGGCCCGCGGCCCAUUAGCUUGUUGGUGGGGUAAAGGCCUACCAAGGCGACGAGGGUAGCUGGUCUGAGAGGACGAUCAGCCACACUGGGACUGAGACACGGCCCA